UAGUGACGUCAUAUGAAAAAGUCGCCAGAAUGAGUACUGACCAAACAUUAUCUAUCUCUUUUUUUAUACGUCACCAUGGGUAAGUUAGAAAGAGAUAAACAGCUGUUUGUCAUUAAUGUGUCGAUUUGAUAUGUAUUUGUAUAAGCAAUUUUUGUAUACUUAGCUCAAAAUGUUAGGCGAAUUAGGCUACUUUAAGAAAAAAAAAUAUUAGGCGAUUUAGGCUACUCGGUAGGAAAAAUUAGGCGAAUUGAGUUAGCUGAUAUCUGGCAACCCUGCCCGCCGCGUCUCGUAGUCCGAGCCAGAGCGUUAGUGAGCACGGACGUAUCGCUGUCCGUCACCGCCGGACCCGCGAUGUAUAUAAUAUCUUAAAAACUAAAUAUGUAAUCGCGUAUUGGUGAACCCCGCUACCGGGGUUCAUCUUCGCGUUCACGUUCACGUUCACCUUCAGCUUCACCUUCACUACAACUACCUGCCAUGCAUGGCCAGCGGCUCUUCAACCCGGCAGAGCUGCCUGCCGUGUCGGACGGCCCGUGCGCACACUCUAAGUGGCCCUACACCACAGUGCGUGCGGCCCUUACCGUCUGGCGUGUCGACAACUCUGCAGGCUUACCAUCUCGAAGAACCAACCCACAUCACCAUCAAUGCUAGCGAGGACAGUGGUUUGAAUAUACUACCACCGGUGACGAAUCUCGUGCGAUACGAUAGUUUGCUCGACAACCCACACCCUUAAGGUCUCUUGCUACUUAAUUCUAAAUAAAUUACUUGUUAACCUAAA